rnacentral:misc_RNA from 1 species
AAAGUCGUAACAAGGUAUCCGUAGGUGAACCUGCGGAUGGAUCAUUCGUGUAAUGAACUGCUCUUGUGCGCAAGCACUUGAGCUUCUUACCUAUCCAACACUGUGAACUUUUAAAAAGACUGUGACCCAGCAGCGUUGGCACUCGACCUCGGUUGGGUGCCGACCACAAGCGGGCACUCGGAGCUUAACUAACCAAACCAAUUACAUAACAGCCUAAACAAAACUUAAUAUCAUACAACCUUUAACAAUGGAUCUCUUGGCUCCU